GAUUGUGUGUUUCUGUGUUUUGCUUCAGGUCCUCUAGAGUUCAGAUUGUCUUCAGAUGUGGUUCCACGUUGUGCGUUUCCAGCUCGCUGGGUUUCAUCCAAGCCAGAGCAUCACGAGGUGAGAACAGCGGCUGGUUGGCUGCUGAACGUCUGCAGUGGCUUCUGCUGGUGGCAGCUGCCAGGCAGGCUGCUCAUCGUGGAGCCGGGACCAGACCUCCAUCCUUCUGAUGCAGCUUUCCCUGGACGUCACCGGCUCCAGGGCAGCUGGUUAAAACAACCAUAAACCUGCAGGUCACCGGCUCCAGGGCAGCUGGUUAAAACAACCAUAAACCUGCAGGUCACCGGCUCCAGCCCUAAAUAAACUGAAUAUUAAUGAACAAACAGAAAUGUGUGCAGAUUACAGAUGUCCACCCAACGGACAGAUCAAAACAGGAACCAAAGGAGCAGUGAGGAAGAGGAGGGUGAGGAAGCACAGCGAGGAACAAACGGAGCUUCAGCCUCAGAUCCAACAAACAGCCAACAGUGGAGAGACUACCAGCCAGUUUUCAGCUGGAAUCAGCACCAAGUGGUGAAACUGAAAAAUCAUAUAUUUAUCCAGUCAGUGAAGGCAACACAGGAUAUUUUAGAAUCAAUCAAGUCAAAGAAAGUAUUUAAAUUGUAAAACAUGUCCAUGGCUGAGAGAGAGCAGAUAACAGGAAGGCUAAACAAACAACAAGGUAUUUUACUCACAUCAAGACCGCUGCGCUAACCAUGCUAAUGGCUAAACUGCUUAAUGAUUUUGUCUGUUUGAAAAUAUUACUAGCAACAGCGACUGCUCUAUAAUGUGAUUAAUUUAAACAGUUAGUGACAAACUGGAAGGCUAGAAAAUCAAAGUUUUUUCAAAAGAAAAUUGUCUCCAAACGUCUGAUUGUUGGUUAUCAGUAAGAAAAAGAUUGCUUCAGCUACUUCUGCAUCCUGAAUUCAUCAGACUAAUAUCAAUUUACACACAAAGAUUCCUUAGCGCUCCAACUUCAGGCCUUCAGACAUUCAUCCAGAGUGUUGCAUAAUAUCAUUUGUUCUCUAGUUUUGCUGUAAACUGCAGCUGCCUUCUCGUUUGUUCCACAACAGCCAACAGAACCGGAGCAUAAAAGAGGAGAAGCGUCUCUUUCCCCAGCAGGAUGGGUUCAUCUCUCAGGAUGAACCGUUUGACCUUCAGGUCAAGGUCGUCUGAGCAGCACCGGGUCAAACCUGCCAGAGAUUCUGACUCUGUUCAUCUGCUGACCAACGAUAAAACCUUAAUUUAAUCAACAAGGAAAUCCUGUUUACAUUAAUACAGAAACUUUAUUAGUAGCUUUACGUCUUUACAAAAAGAGCUUCAUGUUUGUGGUUUACAGUCUAAAUAUUCCUACCACAACUAUUUAAUAAAAAUAACCAGAUUUAAAAGUCCUUCUUUAAACAUUUAAAAGUACUCACAUAUUUAACACAUUAUUAUAGACACAUUUAUAUAAACUGUCUUUACAUGAGAUAACAGAGUAAUCAAUGACGUUUCCUGUAAAUGAAUAUUUGAACAUGUACAGUGUUUCUACGAUGAGUUUAUAUCUCUAUAUGAUGGAGAUGUUAGUCAAACAGCUUUUUCCAGAUGAUGUGAGACGAUAAGCAGAAAACUUCUCCUGCCUUCCGACCCGGCAGCUUCUGCUUUAAGCUAUGUACAGAUUUCAGGAAACAGAUUCAAACCUCACAGCUCUGAUGUUCACCAAAUGAUUACAUUUCCUCUGGGAGAAGCAGAAAUUGUCUCUGCCUGCAGAUUAAUGCUGGAGUUUCUGGUUGACGCGUUUGAGUUGGACAAAGAGACGUUGGGACUCACUGCUGCUUCAUAUGACGGGUCAGAGAUGUUUCUGAUUAUUGCAUUUCUGGACCACAUGUGGUGCUCUUCACUUUCUGAAUCUUUUUCUUCUAAAUAAUAAUAAUUGUUUCAACAGAAGCUUCAUGCUUGGCCUCCUGCAGCUGCAGCAGUAGAGCCGGAAACCUGAAGGAGCUGCAGAGUUUUACUGCGUUUCUCUGCUGAAUAAAACGUUUUGUGUUCCAAAUAUAAGUUUUGUGAUGAAUGGGGUUUGACAUUGGUAUGGAUGAUCCUCCACACAUUUUGCUGACCGGUGUGUCUGAACAGACUUUGCUGCUCAGACCCAGUUUUGCUCCGUCAGGCUCCAGUGAAGUCAGAGCUGAAUCUCAAAAACACAUUUAAUCAGAACCGAAUCCUGACAUGGAGAAAGGUUUUCCUUAAACAUCUGGUUUUACGUCACUUUUACAUCAGAUUCGCUCUAAUUCAUUUCCCUUGUUACUUCUGGAAGUCUCUUCAGGUCAACACAUUACUAACAUCAUUUAGUAAAAACUAGUUUCAAAGAUUUUAGUUUUAUUUGUGCUUCUAAUUAUUUAUCGCCUGAAACUGCAAAUCUUAACUAAACCUAACUAAAACAUAGUUAAAUAUUCUGUAGGUGUUUAUUUAUGAAUGGUGAUGAUUGUAAAGUGACCGAUGCUUCAGUAACUCAGCUGGCAGUGGAGAAACAUUUUGGAUUUUAGGUUGUUAUUUUUCUCUCCUCUCGGUCAGAUGUGUCAGAAGUCAUCUGGCUGCCUUCGUGCUGCUCCAGUCCUGCUAACAUCCAGUGGAUCCAGUUCCUGCUAACAUCCAGUGGAUCCAGUUCCUGCUAACAUCCAGUGGAUCCAGUC